rnacentral:lncRNA from 1 species
AGAUUUUCACUUUCAUUUGAGAUUUUCUUGAUUCAUGUCAUGACCAGAGCAGUCCCCGAAUUUCAUUCGCUUACUUUGCUUAUGACUUCCUGUGCUUUUGUUUGAUUUUUUGCAAGGGCAUGUUAAUACCACUAUAUCGAGUACAACUUGAUUGCUUAAGGGAAUUAUCAACUGGAAACGCCAACCGGUCAUCCAAGUCGUCGACGAUUUGCUCAAUGUCCAUCAAGUUCGUGGUUAGGGGUUCACAACUGCGCUGAUUCACAGCUCGGGAACAAAGCAGGGUUCGGCACGAAGACAUCUCCUCCGUUAUUAAGCUGCGCAGCCAGCUCCGGUUCUCCUUCUCCUCCGUUAUUAAGCUGCGCAGCCAGCUCCGGUUCUCCCUCUCCUCCGUUAUUAAGCUGCGCAGCCAGCUCCGGGUCUCCCUCUCCUCCGUUGUUAAGCUGCGCAGCCAGCUCCGGUUCUCCCUCUCCUCUGUUAUUAAGCUGCGCAGUCAGCUCGGGUUCUCCCCUCUCCUUUGGCACCCCGAUCAAGUUCAAAUGAUUGGCGUAGCCGCCCUGACCAAGUUCUCGGCGAAGAUACAGAGGCAGCGCAGGCAGUCGAUGCAAGUGCUCUGGCAGCAGAUGUUUCUCUGGGUAAUAAACACAACUUCAGCGCAGACAAAAUCCUCACGAAGAAAGUGAAAUUAGAAGGGCAGUGCAGCUGUUUUGAGUGAAGGGAAGCGCAAGUUCGAAGAUACACAGAAGGGCAGCGCAGUUGUCUUGAAUGCAGGGCAGCGUGGGUCAAACCAAUUGGCACGUUCAGAGUGACUCUAUCAAUCUAUCAUAGUGACGAGUAAUCUGUUAUUUUUAUUUUGGGGUUGAUUUUGUGUUCAAAUUUAUUGGGAUUAUUCAUUGGAUAUUGCAUUUAAAUUUCAAUAACUGAAUUUGGGAUAUUGCAACUAUCUCUUACUUUAUUUGGGUACCCAAUUAUCACUAGCUGAUUUUGACCUAUAUCUUGGUGAAAAAAUACUCUUACAAUUGAAACAGUGAGUACUUGUUGAAUGGCAG